GAUGAAGAACGCAGCGAAAUGCGAUACUUGGUGUGAAUUGCAGAAUCCCGUGAACCAUCGAGUCUUUGAACGCAAGUUGCGCCCGAAGCCAUUAGGCCGAGGGCACGCCUGCCUGGGCGUCACACGUCGUUGCCCCCCCAUCUACUCCUUCGGGAUUGCGGGGGGCGGAUGAUGGCCUCCCGUGCGCCUUGUCGCGCGGUUGGCAUAAAUACCAAGUCCUCGGCGACGCACGCCACGACAAUCGGUGGUUGCGAAACCUCGGUUGCCUGUCGUGUGCGGUCGUCGCGCAUCGAGGGCUCGAAAAAAUUGUCGGACUUCGGCUCGGCUUUCAACGCGACCCCAGGUCAGGCGGGGUUACCCGCUGAAUUUAAGCAUAUCAAUAAGCGGAGGA
rnacentral:misc_RNA from 1 species